GCGGAUCACAAUAUGUCGGUAAACGAAGCACCCACCAGAAAAACCUUUGAUGUGGUUGCGCCUGAACCGAGUGAGCGCCAAAACAAGAGUUUACACCCGCUGGGGAUAUCCACCAGAAAAAUAAAUAAUAAGAGCUCUGACUAGGGUGUCCAUAGAGGAGAGUUACGCUCCACCUAUCCUAGUAAAGUGUCCACCAUGCAGAAGCGGGAAACAGUCCAAAAAAUGAGACGGAGGGAAGUUCCAUCUUAGUCUGACGCGAGUUAGAAAUCUCAGAAUGAAGGAAAAACUGCCUACGCUGAACGCUCGAAUGUCCCCAAUCCGUCAAAACAAAAGGACACAAAAGUGUAAGUAUCGCCGAGAGUUGGCGCAAUGACAAUUUUGUAUUGUCUGGCCAUACACAACAAAAAUGUAAAACUAGAUCGAUGUGCCACAUACGCGAGUAUUUGGGAGCGGGUGGUCUAGCCAGACAAAUCCCCCUUAGAAGGUGACAGACCAGAGGGUUCUGACCAAUAAGAGUCCCCUGUAGGGGGCAUGAGCUGCCAAGAUAGCCGAACGUGUAACAUUGAUAGGG